CAAGACUAUUUAAAACAGAUUGGGGGGAAGUGCAAACAUACAGUAUUGAGUGAGAAAGAAAGAUAAUGACACUUCCCUCUGCCGUCUUCUGCAGGAAACAGGUUCUUUUCUUUUCUUUUUACACUUGGCUAAACUAUGCAAAUGCAAUACCGAGAAGGGGAGUUCUGUUUGUAUGUAUUUCCUGUCUAAGGAAGAGGAGCCAUUUUUAAGUUUCAGUCAUUUUACGAUAAGGACAUCCAGAUUAACUGUAGCUGAUUUCUAAUCCUCUGUCACAUCCAACUUGUAGAUUUCUCACACUGAUAAAGGAAGGUUCAUCAUGAUCUCUUUCUGGGCCAUGGUCUUCUUUCUGAUUGGUGACUCUGCUUGCAGUUUCAGUAAGAUGACGGCCAAAGAGGGCUCCUGUGUGACGGUCCACUUAACUCUGGACAAUAUAUGGCGACCUGGGUACAUUGUUUGGUUGAAGGACGCCGUGUGGAAUAAGGAGGCAAAAGAUUAUGAGGGCACGAUCGUGCACAGCCUCAAACCUGACAAACACAACGCGAGUGAAUUUGAAAACAGAGUGUCUGUGGGUUCCACUGAGUCCACUAGGGGUUUAAUGAACUACGAAUUGACCAUCAGUAACCUGAGACCGCAAGACAGCGGAAAUUACUUGGUUAGAUACUAUGGUGAAGAUCCUUCUUAUAAAAUGAACAGCUUGACAAUGAGUCUUGAUG